GAAGGUCAGCCCGGGGCUCACCAAGUGUGGACCAUAUUAACCCGCCCAGCUUAAAGCCCACAUGACCCCAGUGCCUUGUGGCUGGGACUUUCCAGAUCUCCUGCAGACUUGGGAGGAUGUCCCGGGAAGCCAGGGAGAGCCUGAGAACUCAAGAUGAGUGGUGAUGGGCCUGGCUGUGUACCUCACGGGAAAAGUCACAGCAGGAACCGGAAAAGGAUGCCACGAUGGAUCUAUUGGAGGAGGAGUGAGCUGGUGGUCUGCCCCUUCUAAGUCCAUCCCACCGCCCUGGCGAGCAGGGCUAUAUCAUGGCAGAACAUUCCAUGUGACUCCAGAGCAAAGGCACAUUUCAAAGUCAAAGAGAAAAGAAAGAAACUGCUUUGGAGAACAUUGCAUUUAAAAGUCAAAAGAUGCGAAAACCCAGGAGACGGAAUUCCGGUGGAGUUGAUCCUAAAAGAAUAAUCAGAGGUCUGCCCACGUCUAAUUGUAAGGGCGUUCACAACAGCACUGCGUGAACGAGCCAAAAAUGGGGAACUACUUGCGAGUCCAGUGUGAGGGGCUCGCUGGUGCUGGAUAUAAAGCCCUCACAUCGCAAGACGGCGGCAGCCCACGAACAAAGGGGAACAGACGUGCGUUUACGGGCCAGUGAGGGUGUACGCUUCUGCAGACUUAAAAAAUACAACCUAAAAAGCUAUGUUUUAUUCAUUGGGAAUGUUUGGACUUCAAGCCAAGAGAGAGCAUCUCAAGUGUCCCUGAGAGACCUGCUCCGAGGAGGCAAGGAGGGGAGCCAGGUUAUAUAUAUUAAAAGAAGUUUUGCAACAAA